AUCUGGGCGGCGGAAUUCAGGAUGGCUGGCGUGCUCUCGCGGUGCGUCGGUCGUUUGAUAUUUCCGUCGCCAACAAACCGCAGACGUCGCGACCUGUUCGCGGUCGGUCCCUGCUCGGAGGAGCCACGUUCGAGCUCGUUGUGUGCGCGUUUCGGCGCGUCACACGGCGAAGGCGUGGAUCUCUGGCUGGCCGUCGGACAGUAUGCUUAGCGGUGUCCGGUGUCGUCGUCUCGUACGCGCGGCACCGGUACCGGUCAGCGACGAAUUCUUCGGGCCUCUUUCCGACCCGUCUUGAAACACGGACCAAGGAGUCUAACAUGCGCGCGAGUCGCGGGGUAUCGAGCGUACUUCGGUGCGAUCGUUAUGUUGCGAAACCCGUACAUGUCGAAGGCGUAAUGAAAGUGAAUGGGGAAGAUGGUGUUCCGAGUACACGUUCCGCGAUCGUCGGUAUCGCGGCCGGACACCCGCAUUCCCGGGGCGUCUCAACGGCCCGUCGCUGAUGCGGACAGUCGUCUUUCGGGGCGGCUGUCGGUCGGCGACGAACCGA
rnacentral:rRNA from 1 species